ACGGAGGGUGCAAACGUUGUUCGGAAUCACUGGGCAUAAAGGGCUCGUAGGCGGUUCAUUAAGUCAGAUGUGAAAUCCCUCGGCUCAACCGGGGAACUGCAUUUGAUACUGGUGAACUAGAGUAUGGUUGGGGUGAGCGGAACUCCUGGUGGAGCGGUGAAAUGCGUAGAUAUCAGGAGGAACACCGGUGGCGAAAGCGGCUCACUGGACCAUUACUGACGCUGAGGAGCGAAAGCUAGGGGAGCGAACGGG
rnacentral:rRNA from 1 species